rnacentral:rRNA from 1 species
CUACGGAGGGUGCUAGCGUUAUUCGGAAUUACUGGGCGUAAAGCGAGCGUAGGCGGUUAGUAAAGUUGGAUGUGAAAGCCCGGGGCUCAACCUCGGAACUGUAUUCAAAACUCACUAACUAGAAUUCGGUAGAGGAUAGUGGAAUUCCUAGUGUAGAGGUGAAAUUCGUAGAUAUUAGGAGGAACACCAGUGGCGAAGGCGACUGUCUGGACCGAUAUUGACGCUAAGGCUCGAAAGCGUGGGGAGCAAACGGGAUUAGAAACCCCAGUAGUCC